AGUGAACGCUGGCGGUAGGCCUAACACAUGCAAGUCGAACGGCAGCACAGUAAGAGCUUGCUCUUACGGGUGGCGAGUGGCGGACGGGUGAGGAAUACAUCGGAAUCUACUUUUUCGUGGGGGAUAACGUAGGGAAACUUACGCUAAUACCGCAUACGACCUACGGGUGAAAGCAGGGGAUCUUCGGACCUUGCGCGAUUGAAUGAGCCGAUGUCGGAUUAGCUAGUUGGCGGGGUAAAGGCCCACCAAGGCGACGAUCCGUAGCUGGUCUGAGUGGAUGAUCAGCCACACUGGAACUGAGACACGGUCCAGAAUCCUACGGGAGGCAGCAGUGGGGAAUAUUGGACAAUGGGCGCAAGCCUGAUCCAGCCAUACCGCGUGGGUGAAGAAGGCCUUCGGGUUGUAAAGCCCUUUUGUUGGGAAAGAAAAGCAGCAGGUUAAUACCCCGCUGUUCUGACGGGACCCAAAGAAUAAGCACCGGCGAACUUCGU
rnacentral:rRNA from 1 species